GACGAACGCUGGCGGCGUGCUUAACACAUGCAAGUCGAACGGAAAGGCCCUGCUUGCAGGGUACUCGAGUGGCGAACGGGUGAGUAACACUUGGGUGAUCUGCCCUGCACUUCGGGAUAAGCCUGGGAAACUGGGGCUAAUACCGGAUAGGAGCCAUUUUUAGUGUGAUGGUUGGAAAGUUUUUUCGGUGUAGGAUGAGCUCGCGGCCUAUCAGCUUGUUGGUGGGGUAAUGGCCUACCAAGGCGGCGACGGGUAGCCGGCCUGAGAGGGUGGACGGCCACAUUGGGACUGAGAUACGGCCCAGACUCCUACGGGAGGCAGCAGUGGGGAAUAUUGCACAAUGGGCGCAAGCCUGAUGCAGCGACGCCGCGUGGGGGAUGACGGCCUUCGGGUUGUAAACUCCUUUCGCUAGGGACGAAGCUUUUGUGACGGUACCUAGAUAAGAAGCACCGGCUAACUACGUG
rnacentral:rRNA from 1 species